GCGUUUUCUUCCAAUCACAAGGGGAUUGAUUCCUUCUGUUAUGACCCUGCGAGAAGAUGGACAAAGGAAGAGGAAAAGGAUUCUAUCCGGCAGAGGCGGUUAUAAUUUUCACCUUUUAAUUUGCUGCAAAAAGGAUUAUUAUUAUUAUUAUUGUAACAUAUUGAUAAUCUUUUUACAGUAAUUGGAGAUAGCAAGCAGUCCACAUUUUGAGUUUCUGCAAUUACAUACUCUUCAACAAAUGCUAUAUUUAAUUCCCAGCAUGUUCACUCUAUGCCCAAGUGUCUCUCACUUGAUAGAUUUGUGCAUUUUGAGCAUUCUUGUGUUCAACACCUGUUGGAUAUAUAGAUUAAUGAGUCAAUUGGAUGGUGGAAACAAAAGGGAUCAGAGAUCAAGAAUUGUACCAAAAAGCCUCAAGUUAGAAUUGUACGUACAGGAUGUAAAGAGUCACAUAUAAGAAGUACAUGAGCCAUCCAGUGUGCUGAAAGUCAAGGAACAAAGCAAGGUGGACCCCUAUGUACAGGGUAAAAAAAUUGAUUUUGAGGUGUCAAGAGUGUAUUGGAGGUGUACGUAUAGAUAGUAUGCACAACAAGUGUAUA